AAUGGGGUUCAACGGGUUACCCGCACCCGUCGGCGUAGGGUAGACACACGCUGAGCCAGUCAGUGUAGCACGCGUGCAGCCCCGGACAUCUAAGGGCAUCACAGACCUGUUAUUGCUCAAUCUCGGGUGGCUGAACGCCACUUGUCCCUCUAAGAAGUGGGACGCCGAA